GAUGAACGCUGGCGGCGUGCCUAAUACAUGCAAGUCGAGCGAACAGACGAGGAGCUUGCUCCUCUGACGUCAGCUGCUCACGGGUGAGUAACACGUGGAUAACCUACCUAUAAUACUGGGAUAACUUCGUGAAACCGGAGCUAAUACCGGAUAAUAUCUUGAACCGCAUUGUUCAAUAGUGAAAUACGGUUUUGCUGUCACUUAUAGAUGGUUCCGCGCCGCAUUAGCUAGUUGGUAAGGUAACGGCUUACCAAGGCGACGAUGCGUAGCCGACCUGAGAGGGUGAUCGGCCACACGGGAAAUGAGACACGGUCCAGACUCCUACGGGAGGCAGCAGUAGGGAAUCUUCCGCAAUGGGCGAAAGCCUGACGGAGCAACGCCGCGUGAGUGAUGAAGGUCUUCGGAUCGUAAAACUCUGUUAUUAGGGAAGAACAAAUGUGUAAGUAACUAUGCACGUCUUGACGGUACCUAAUCAGAAAGCAACGGCUAACUACGUG
rnacentral:rRNA from 1 species